AACUUUCGGCAAUGGAUCUCUUGGUUCUGGCAUCGAUGAAGAACGCAGCGAAAUGCGAUAAGUAAUGUGAAUUGCAGAAUUCAGUGAAUCACCGAAUCUUUGAACGCACAUUGCGCCCCUUGGUAUUCCGAGGGGCAUGCCUGUUCGAGCGUCAUUUGACCAAUCAAGCCUGGCUUGGUAUUGGGGCCCGCCCUUCAGCGGCCUCUAAACACAGUGGCGGUGCCAUUAGGCUCUCAGCGUAGUAAAUUUUCUCGCUACAGAGUCUUGUGGUUACUUGCCAUAACCCCAAUUUCUUAAGGUUGACCUCGGAUCAGGUAGGGAUACCCGCUGAACUUAAGCAUAUCAAUAAGCGGAGGCU
rnacentral:misc_RNA from 1 species